rnacentral:tRNA from 1 species
GGGUUGCCUCCGUGGUUAGAGUGUAGGUCUCGUAACCUAAAGGUCGCGGGAUCGAAUCCCGCUGAAGGCUA